UGGGGAAUAUUGCGCAAUGGGGGGAACCCUGACGCAGCCAUGCCGCGUGAAUGAAGAAGGCCUUAGGGUUGUAAAGUUCUUUCGGUAUUGAGGAAGGUUGAUGUGUUAAUAGCACAUCAAAUUGACGUUAAAUACAGAAGAAGCACCGGCUAACUCCGUGCCAGCAGCCGCGGUAAUACGGAGGGUGCGAGCGUUAAUCGGAAUAACUGGGCGUAAAGGGCACGCAGGCGGUUAUUUAAGUGAGGUGUGAAAGCCCUGGGCUUAACCUAGGAAUUGCAUUUCAGACUGGGUAGCUAGAGUACUUUAGGGAGGGGUAGAAUUCCACGUGUAGCGGUGAAAUGCGUAGAGAUGUGGAGGAAUACCGAAGGCGAAGGCAGCCCCUUGGGAAUGUACUGACGCUCAUGUGCGAAAGCGUGGGGAGCAAACAGGAUUAGAUACCCUGGUAGUCCACGCUGUAAACGCUGUCGAUUUGGGGGUUGGGGUUUAACUCUGGCGCCCGUAGCUAACGUGAUAAAUCGACCGCCUGGGGAGUACGGCCGCAAGGUUA
rnacentral:rRNA from 1 species